GGCCGCUUGGCCCAAUGGUUAAGGCGUCUGACUACGAAUCAGGAGAUUCUGGGUUCGACUCCCAGGGUGGCCU